CCUACGGGCGGCAGCAGUGGGGAAUAUUGCACAAUGGGGGGAACCUUGAUGCAGCAACGCCGCGUGGGUGAAGAAGUACUCCGGUAUGUAAAGCCCUGUCAGCAGGGAAGAAAAUGACGGUACCUGACCAAGAAGCCCCGGCUAACGACGUGCCAGCAGCCGCGGGAAUACGUAGGGGGCAAGCGUUAUCCGGAUUUACUGGGGGUAAAGGGGGCGUAGACGGCAAGGCAAGGCUGGAGUGAAAGCCCGUGGCCCAACCCCGGGACUGCUGUGGAAACUGUGUUGCUGGAGUGCAGGAGGGGUAAGCGGAAUGCCUAGUGUAGCGGUGAAAUGCGUAGAUAUUAGGAGGAACACCGGUGGCGAAGGCGGCUUACUGGCCUGUAACUGACGUUGAGGCUCGAAGGCGUGGGGAGCAAACAGGAUUAGAUACCCGUGUAGUC
rnacentral:rRNA from 1 species